AUUGAACGCUGGCGGCAUGCCUUACACAUGCAAGUCGAACGGUAACAGGUCUUCGGAUGCUGACGAGUGGCGAACGGGUGAGUAAUACAUCGGAACGUGCCCGAUCGUGGGGGAUAACGAAGCGAAAGCUUUGCUAAUACCGCAUACGAACUACGGAUGAAAGCAGGGGACCGCAAGGCCUUGCGCGAACGGAGCGGACGAUGGCAGAUUAGGUAGUUGGUGGGAUAAAAGCUUACCAAGCCGACGAUCUGUAGCUGGUCUGAGAGGACGACCAGCCACACUGGGACUGAGACACGGCCCAGACUCCUACGGGAGGCAGCAGUGGGGAAUUUUGGACAAUGGGCGAAAGCCUGAUCCAGCCAUGCCGCGUGCAGGAUGAAGGCCUUCGGGUUGUAAACUGCUUUUGUACGGAACAAAAAGACUCUGGUUAAUACCUGGGGUCCAUGACGGUACCGUAAGAAUAAGCACCGGCUAACUACGUGCCAGCAGCCGCGGUAACAC
rnacentral:rRNA from 1 species